UUGAUUUAUUUUUCUCUUUUAGCUUUUUGAUAUUGUGAAAACAGGAUGUGAAUCACAUAUCCUUUUUAGACUUGAACAUCUUGAUAUCAGUGAUAUAGGAUCUUAUACAUAAAAAAAAAAACUACUUCUGUUUAUCUGAUUUAAUUUGUAUUGUCAAGGUACUCUGGUAUGCUUGAAAAGGAGGUAAAGAUUGCUUGUCUUGUCUGUCGCAACUGUUGUGAUUGCAAAGCAUGUUCUAGAAGUCCAGCUAAAGAUGGUUAUAAGGAUCUUGAAAUUGUUCAGGCGCGUAUAUACGAUGAGUUUGUAGAGAAAGCAAAAGCCUGUGCCUUAAAACGCAUUGUUGGAGACCCCUUUUAAAAGGGUGUUGAACAAGGUCCUCAGAUUGAUGAGGAGCAGUUUAGCAAGAUCUUGCAUUAUAUCAAAUCGGGAAUUAACAGUGGUGCUACGCUAGUAACAGGUGGAGAUCGAAUUGGAAACAAAGGUUAUUACAUUCAGUCGACCAUCUUCUCUGAUGUACAAGAUGAAAUAAAAAUAGCACAAGAUGAGAUCUUCGGUCCUGUUCAAUCGAUCCUUAAGUUCAGGCAAGUGCAACAUCUUAUGCCAGUCUUCUUGAUGUGUACAAUAUCA